UCUUGGAAUUUAGGCAGGCUGCAUCUGUUUUGUACUUGGAUGGGAGACCACUGGGAAACCCAAAUAGUACAAGCU
rnacentral:rRNA from 1 species